CCUACGGGGGGCAGCAGUGAGGAAUAUUGGUCAAUGGACGAGAGUCUGAACCAGCCAAGUAGCGUGAAGGAUGACUGCCCUAUGGGUUUUAAACUUCUUUUAUAAAGGAAUAAAACGAGGCACGUGUGCCUUUUUGCAUGUACUUUAUGAAUAAGGAUCGGCUAACUCCGUGCCAGCAGCCGCGGUAAUACGGAGGAUCCGAGCGUUAUCCGGAUUUAUUGGGGUUAAAGGGAGCGUAGAUGGGUUUUUAAGUCAGUUGUGAAAGUUUGCGGCUCAACCGUAAAAUUGCAAUUGAUACUGGCAGUCUGGAGUACAGUUGAGGUAGGCGGAAUUCGUGGUGUAGCGGUGAAAUGCUUAGAUAUCACGAAGAACCCCGAUUGCGAAGUCAGCUUACUAAACUGUGACUGACAUUGAUGCUCGAAAGUGUGGGUAUCAAACAGGAUUAGAUACCCGGGUAGUC
rnacentral:rRNA from 1 species